rnacentral:misc_RNA from 1 species
CGAAGAAGCAUAAGCUCGCGGCGCCCAAAUACCAGGGCCUCACCGCGCAAAAGACUCCGCGGGCGGCCUUGCCCGGGGACGGCGGCGAGGUGCGCGUGAUCGCGGGUUCUUUUGAGGAAACAGCGGGCCCCGCGUCGACUUUUACUCCCGUGCGCAUGCUGGACCUUCGUCUAAAAGCGAAUGGGCGCCUUCGCUUGCCGGUGGCGGCCUCCCACAACGCGGCUUUGGUCAUACUGAGCGGGAACGUGACCGUGAAUGGGGCGCUCAAAGCCGGAGAGCGAGACUCCAUACUGUUCAAAAAUGAUGGGGAUGAAAUACUGAUCGAGGCGAAGACGGACGCGGUGAUUUUGGCGAUGGACGGGGAGCCGAUCGACGAACCGUUAGUGCAUUACGGCCCGUUCGUGAUGAAUACCGUGGACGAGAUCAACGAGGCGGUGCAGGAUUACAACAGCGGGAAGUUUGGAAAGUUGACAGAUUAGCUAGCUGUCAUUGCGAGGAGCGUUUUUUCGCGACGUGGCAAUCCCAUCUUUUUGGGGCAUCAAAAACAUGUACUCAUUGCUCGCGAAACCUGGGAUUGCCACGUCGGCCUGCGGCCUCCUCGCAAUGACAGCUGAGAAGAACUCAGUCCCCAUCCCCGCGGACGGGGCCGCGGUUGGAUUUGACGUCGGAACGGUGAUGUUUGUCCUGCAGCAUCUUGUUUUUUGCGCGCUUGCUGCGUUUUCGUUUUUGGCGGCGGAUCUUUUCGAUCGCUUGCUGUCUUUGGCUGGCCGCCCCAAGAAUUUUCUCCUCGAUCUUAUCGGUCAACCGGCGCCGCGCCAGGAACCGGUUCAUGGCUUGCGACCGUUCGUCUUGGCAUUGAAUCUGGAUCCCCGUGGGCAAAUGAACCAGCACCACGCAGGUCGAGACUUUGUUGACGUGCUGCCCGCCGGCGCCGCCGGAGCGGACGAAACUUUCCUUUAAAUCUUGAUCGCGGAUUCCCAGGCGGGCCAUCCGCUCCUGCAGAGCCUUGACCUUGUUUUCGCCGACGGGGAAAUCAGGCAUCUUGGUCCAACUCUUCCCACCGCUUAAAUAGGCGUUCCACUUCCACGUGCGCGGCGUUCAGCCGCUCCUGCCGCUUCAUCAACUCCUUGACGUCCGUGGCGACGGCGGGGUCCUCGAGCGCCUCUUGCGCGUCCGCCACGGCGGUUUCGGCGGCGCGGAUGGCGGCCUCCAUAUUUUUUCAGUUCCUUGGUCUCAUUGGUCGAGAGGGCGGGCUUGUCGGGGCGCGCCGCCGGUUCGCCCUUGUGUUCGGCAUGGGAAGAGACGCUCUUCGGGCGGGACGCCCGCCAAUCCUCCCACUGCGACAAGUCCGCGAAAUGCCGGGCGUGGCCCUUGCCGUCCAGCGCGACGAUCUCCUUGCUGACGCGAUCGAGCAAAUACCGGUCGUGGUCACCAGGACGAGCGCCCCGGGGAAAUCCGCCAUGCUGCUUUCCAACACUUCCAAUGAGUUGAUGUCCAGGUCGUUGGUGGGCUCGUCCAGCAGCAGCAGGUCGGCUUGUUUCAGCAUGAGCCGGGCGAUCAAGACGCGCGAUUGUUCACCACCGGACAGGCGGCCCAGCGUCAUGUCGAGCUGCUCUUUGCGGAAAAGGAACCGUUCCGCCCAGCCGAUGACGUGGACGGGGCUGCCCCGGUAGUGCACGUGCUCGCCGGAUUCGCAGAGGGCUUUGCGCAGGGUAAUGUUUAAAUCCAAUGAUCGCGGUGCUGAUCGAACGUAACGACCUGCAGCCGGUCGGCGCGCUUGAUCACGCCCGCGUCCGGCUGCAAUUGGCCGGACAGGAGUUUGAGCAGGGUGCUCUUGCCGCUGCCGUUUUCGCCCAGGAGCCCCAGCUUGUCGCUGGGCUGCAGCCGCAAUUCCAUGGGACCGAAGAGGCGCCGCCCGGCAUAGCCUUUUUCCACUUUGUGGAAUUCCACCAGGCUGCGCGUCUUGCGCCCGCUUCCCGAAAAAUCGAUGUCCACGUUGCGGGUCUGGGCGUUGCGGUAUUGGAGCUCGCCCAGUUCUUCGAUCAUCCGCCCCGCGCGGUCGAUGCGGGCCUGUUGCUUGGUGGUGCGCGCCUUGGGGCCUUUGCGCAGCCAUUCAAUUUCGGUGCGGACCAGGUUCCGCAUGGUGUCUUCCUUGGCGGCCUGGGCGGAGAAGAGCGCCUCGCGGUUCUCUAAGAAAUCGCUGUAGUUUCCCUUGCUGC